AGAGAGUGUCUCGUAGUAUUUGCUUGAAAAUGGGUAAGGGAUACAGACUAGUAAGAAUAAAAGCAAGAAGGAGCAGCUGUGAGAUGGAGAGGCAGCAGAUGCUUGUUUACACAAGCAGCUAAUUCAAAAUGAAAAAAAUAAAAGGAAGGAAGAAAAUUCUGAGCCUAGUGAAAUAAUUGUUGUCUUGGAGAUUAUGGGAGGAAGGGCGUCAGUACGUCUCCAUCUUCAAACAAGCUGGGAACAUGAGACACUUGACAGAGAUUGUCCCUUUGAAGUCAAUACUAAAUUGAGGCCUGUCUGCAAUAUUGAAUUAGCAUUCCAAAGGAAAGAGCUCUUACAGAAAUAUCUAGAGAAACAGUGCUUUUGCUGAAAUGUUCUGUGUUAGUCUCUUGCUACAUCAGGACCAAGAUGGCAAUGUUGCUGCUGUAAAACCAGUGAGAAUUAUCUACUUUUAAAUGUAUUGGUUUUAGUCUUACCCAUGCUUUGCACCAGAGUACAAAAAGAGAUAUUUGUAUUCUUCAGCAUUGAAAUAUUAAAGGAAAAAAAAAUUAAAAAUUACUUACUUUGGUAAUUCCCAAAGAGUUUCGAUCUCAGCAUAAGAAAUCUUAGGGAAAUUAACAUACUUAUUCUUACCUAAAAUCUCAACACUAUAUUUUAACAAAGAUUCCCAAAUAUUCACAAGAUACUUGUGAAGUCACAAGUAAUUGUGACUUCAAGUCACUGCUCACAACAGAUAACAGUGAAGCAGGAAUGGAGAUAGGUUGGUGGUUUUGAUUUUGCCAGACUCCUUUGGUGGGAGAGAAGCAAAGGAGAGAGAAGAUGAUAUAAACCUUCAGACUCUG
rnacentral:lncRNA from 1 species